UUGCUCGCUAUGGUGCGUGUACCCAAAAGGGCGCAGCGUUGUUGACAACGCAGGACACCUAAGGCGGGCUUUU
rnacentral:ncRNA from 1 species